rnacentral:rRNA from 1 species
GGCACGCCUAACACAUGCAAGUCGAACGAAGUAGCAAUACUUAGUGGCAGACGGGUGAGUAACAUGUAGGUAUCUGCCCUUUGGCCUGGAAUAACACGAGGAAACUUGUGCUAAUACCGGAUAAGUCUUUACGGAGAAAGCUUUAUGCACCAUUGGAUGAGCCUGCACUUGAUUAGUUUGUUGGUGGGGUAAUGGCCUACCAAGACUUUGAUCAAUAGCUGAUUUGAGAGGAUGAUCAGCCACAUUGGGACUGAGACACGGCCCAAACUCCUACGGGAGGCAGCAGUGGGGAAUCUUGCACAAUGGAGGAAACUCUGAUGCAGCGAUGCCGCGUGAGUGAAGAAGGCCCUUGGGUUGUAAAGCUCUUUCGUCGGGGAAGAAAAUGACUGUACCCGAAUAAGAAGGUCCGGCUAACUUCGUGCCAGCAGCCGCGGUAAUACGAAGGGACCUAGCGUAGUUCGGAAUUACUGGGCUUAAAGAGUUCGUAGGUGGUUGAAAAAGUUGGUGGUGAAAUCCCAGAGCUUAACUCUGGAACUGCCAUCAAAACUUUUCAGCUAGAGUAUGAUAGAGGAAAGCAGAAUUUCUAGUGUAGAGGUGAAAUUCGUAGAUAUUAGAAAGAAUACCAAUUGCGAAGGCAGCUUUCUGGAUCAUUACUGACACUGAGGAACGAAAGCAUGGGUAGCGAAGAGGAUUAGAUACCCUCGUAGUCCAUGCCGUAAACGAUGUGUGUUAGACGUUGGAAAUUUAUUUUCAGUGUCGCAGCGAAAGCGAUAAACACACCGCCUGGGGAGUACGACCG